rnacentral:rRNA from 1 species
GAUGAACGCUAGCGGGAGGCUUAACACAUGCAAGUCGAGGGGCAGCAUAGGGUAGCAAUACUCUGAUGGCGACCGGCAAACGGGUGAGUAACGCGUAUGCAACCUACCCUGUACAGGGGGAUAACCCGGAGAAAUUCGGACUAAUAUCCCGUAAUAAUAUCCGGAGGCAUCUUUGGAUAUUUAAAGUUUCGACGGUACGGGAUGGGCAUGCGUAACAUUAGCUGGUUGGUAAGGUAACGGCUUACCAAGGCUAUGAUGUUUAGGGGUCCUGAGAGGGUGGUCCCCCACACUGGUACUGAGACACGGACCAGACUCCUACGGGAGGCAGCAGUGAGGAAUAUUGGUCAAUGGGCGCAAGCCUGAACCAGCCAUCCCGCGUGCAGGAAGACGGCCCUAUGGGUUGUAAACUGCUUUUCCAGGGAAGAAACUUACGCACGUGUUGCGUGACUGACGGUACCCUGGGAAUAAGCAUCGGCUAACUCCGUGCCAGCAGCCCGGGUAAAACUCGUCUCUA